UACGUAGGUGGCAAGCGUUGUCCGGAUUUAUUGGGUUUAAAGGGUGCGUAGGUGGUCUAUUAAGUCAGUGCUGAAAUAUCCCGGCUUAACCGGGAGGGUGGCAUUGAUACUGAUGGACUUGAGUAGAGUUGAGGUAGGCGGAAUUGACGGUGUAGCGGUGAAAUGCUUAGAUAUCUGGAGGAAUACCGGUGGCGAAGGCGGCAUCCUGGACCAUUACUGACGCUGAGGCGCGAAAGCUAGGGGAGCAAACGGG
rnacentral:rRNA from 1 species